GGCGAAACCGCGGACGGCUCAUUAAAUCAGAUAUAACUCAUUGGAUCUCUGCUGAACCGCACUACUUGGAUAACUGUGGUAAUUCUAGAGCUAAUACAUGCCUUUGUAGUCUCCGACCGCGAGGGAGGAGCGCUUUUAUUAGACCAAAACCCUCGGCGGCCGGCCCUUCAACCGGUCGGCCGCGAUCUCCUUGGUGAAUCAGAAUAACUUUCGCCGAGCGCACGACCCCUCCCGUAACCCGGGUUGGGUCGGCGCCGCGUCCUGCAGGCGUCUGCCUUAUCAGCUCUCGAUUGUAGGUUAAACGCCUACAAUGGCUAUCACGGGUAACGGGGAAUCAGGGUUCGAUUCCGGAGAGGGAGCCUGAGAAACGGCUACCACAUCUAAGGAAGGCAGCAGGCGCGCAAAUUACCCACUCCCGGCACGGGGAGGUAGUGACGAAAAAUACUGUUGCGAGCCCCGAACGGGGCCUCGCAAUUGGAAUGAGUACACUUUAAAUCCUUGUACGAGGAUCGAGUGGAGGGCAAGUCUGGUGCCAGCCGCCGCGGUAAUUCCAGCUCCACUAGCGUAUAUUAAAGUUGUUGCGGUUGAAACGCUCGUAGUUUGACUUCUGCUCCGGACCGGCGGUCCGCCUUAGCGGCGGCUACUGCCGGGUUCCGAGCUGUGUCCCCGCCGGCGCGCACGGGGUUUUUUAUGCCCUUAACCGGGUGUCCCCCUGUGGCCGGCACGUUUACUUUGAAAAAAUUAGAGUGCUCAGAGCAGGCUGGUCUUUGCUUACAGCCCGAAUGGUCGUGCAUGGAAUGAUGGAACAGGACCUCGGUUCUAUUUUGUCGGUUUUUCGGAACCCGAGGUAAUGAUUAAUAGAAGCAGACGGGGGCAUUCGUACUGCGACGCUAGAGGUGAAAUUCUUAGACCGUCGCAUGACGACCUACUGCGAAAGCAUCUGCCAAGGAUGUUUUCAUUGAUCAAGAACGAAAGUUAGAGGUUCGAAGGCGAUCAGAUACCGCCCUAGUUCUAACCUUAAACGAUGCUGACUAGCGAUCCGCCGCAGUUAUUCCCAUGACCCGGCGGGUAGCUUCCGGGAAACCAAAGUCUUUGAGUUCCGGGGGAAGUAUGGUUGCAAAGCUGAAACUUAAAGGAAUUGACGGAAGGGCACCACCAGGAGUGGAGCCUGCGGCUCAAUUUGACUCAACACGGGGAAACUCACCAGGCCAGGACACCGGAAGGAUUGACAGAAUGAAGGCUCUUUCUCGAUUCGGUGGGUGGUGGUGCAUGGCCGUUCUUAGUUGGUGGAGUGAUCUGUCUGGUUAAUUCCGAUAACGAACGAGACUCUAGCCUGCUAAAUAGUCGACGGGUCUCUCGCCCAGCCUUCGCCCUCGGGCGUCGGCUUCGGUUCCCCUAAACCCGGCCGUCGCGCGGGCCUCCACCGUCGGUUGGUUAGCGCCGCCGGCGGCGCGCCCCGCGGCGCCGGAAACUGGCGUCCGCUUCGCAGUCUUCUUCUUAGAGGGAUAAGCGGCAGCAAAAAAUAUACUAGCCGCACGAGAGUUUGAGCCAUAACAGGUCUGUGAUGCCCUUAGAUGUUCUGGGCCGCACGCGCGCUACAAUGGAGAGUUCAGCGAGCUGUCCCUGCUCCGAGAGGAGCGGGUAACCUCGUGAAAGCUGUCCUUAAAGGGGAUUGGGGCUUGCAAAUGUUCCCCAUGAACGAGGAAUUCCCAGUAGGCGCAAUUCACCAGAUUGCGCCGAUUUAGUCCCUGCCCUUUGUACACACCGCCCGUCGCUACUAC
rnacentral:rRNA from 1 species